rnacentral:rRNA from 1 species
GGCUUGUUGAUUAUAAUUUCAAGUCUUGCCUGCCCUAUGAAUUUAUUAAAUGGCCGCAGUAUAUUGACUGUGCAAAGGUAGCAUAAUCAUUAGUUUUUUAAUUAAAAGCUUGGAUGAAAGGUUUGAUGAGAAAGUUUCUGUCUCUAAAAAGAUUCAUUAAAAUUUUAUUUUUAAGUUAAAAAGCUUAAAUGUUUAUAGAAGACAAGAAGACCCUAUAGAGUUUUAUAUUAGACUUUAGUGUUUAGUUUAAAGUAUGUAAAAUAAAAUAUUAAAAUUUAAUAUUUUGUUGGGGUGACAGAAAAAUUAGAUAAACUUUUUUUAAAAUUAAACAUUUAUUUAUGAGUAAGAUGAUCCUAAAAUUUGGAUAAAAAGACAAAAUUACCUUAGGGAUAACAGCGUAAUUUUUUUUAGAGUUCUUAUCGAAAAAAAAGUUUGCGACCUCGAUGUUGGAUUAAAGUUAAUUUUUGGUGAAGAAGCUAAGAGAUUAGGUCUGUUCGACCUUUAAAACUUUACAUGAUCUGAGUUUAAACCGGUGUAAG